rnacentral:rRNA from 1 species
GACGAACGCUGGCGGCGUGCCUAAUACAUGCAAGUCGAGCGGACUGAUUAAGAGCUUGCUCUUAUGACGUUAGCGGCGGACGGGUGAGUAACACGUGGGCAACCUGCCCUGUAGAUCGGGAUAACACCGAGAAAUCGGUGCUAAUACCGGGUAAUAUCUGAGAUCACAUGAUCUUAGGUUAAAAGAUGGCUCCGGCUAUCACUACAGGAUGGGCCCGCGGCGCAUUAGCUAGUUGGUAAGGUAAUGGCUUACCAAGGCGACGAUGCGUAGCCGACCUGAGAGGGUGAUCGGCCACACUGGGACUGAGACACGGCCCAGACUCCUACGGGAGGCAGCAGUAGGGAAUCUUCCGCAAUGGACGAAAGUCUGACGGAGCAACGCCGCGUGAGUGAUGAAGGGUUUCGGCUCGUAAAGCUCUGUUGUUAGGAAAGAAACAGUACCGAACGAACUAGGUCGGUACCUUGACGGUACCUAACCAGAAAGCCACGGCUAACUACGUG